GGUACAAUCCGGUUUGGGAAAAAUAAUGAAACAGAAAUUUGAAGAUAAUGCUUUAAAAUAAUCGUUUUGAAAAAUCGGCAAUGUAUUGAAAACUACAAGUACAUGCGCGCCAUCAGCUGACAGAGUUCGCUGGCGCGAGGUCAACGUACUCCCGCACCGCUGCGCUCGCGCGCUUGCGUCUCCGGUGCGAUUAUAUCGCCUUAGUCGUUCAUCGUUUUAGUUUUUACGAAUAAAUUCAAUAACAAUCUUCCUAUUUUUUGUAAUUAUUCUAAUUCGUUAUGACACAAUUUGAACCCCACCUCAUUCGAACCCGAAGGAUGUAAAAAUGUAAGUGGUUCAGUACUUUCGCUCCGCCGCCGCCCGCUAGUCGCGCGUCUCGCGGUCAACGUGAGUGUACAGCGUGUAUGCAUACAUUGCGGGUU
rnacentral:misc_RNA from 1 species